UUUAAAAUCCUCUGAAAAAAAGUGAUGUAAAAUGCCAACGUUUCAUACUGUCUUUGUGGAGAUUAACCUAAAAUACGCACACCGUACUCUACCAAAGGUUAAUCAUCACUAUAGCAGACAACGACACCAUGGAACUAACAUCAGUAUAAAAACUUUGUUACCAGGAUUCUGGCAGAAUGGCAAAGAAUUUGAUGCAUUGGCUCUUUCCAGCCAGAAAGCUAAGUGACAAAGAUAUGGAAUAUGAUACAAAUUCAAGAAAACUUCAUUCUAUAAUGCUGUUCAAAGGACGAUAUCGCCUUAAAUGUGAAGAAAGGGACCCAAAAAAUACUUCAUCUGAUAGCAUGAUUGCCACACAAGCUGGAGAAUUCGCUAAAACUUUCGAUAAAGAACUUAAAACCAGACUCAAUUUAAAACGAAAAGAUUGCUUAGGAUGCAAAAUUAUUGCCUCAGCGACAGUGUUAGGAAUAUUUGGUAUAAUAUCACUCCAGCUUCGCAGAGCUCCACACCGGAAGCCAGAGAAAAUAACAAGACCAUUAGGGCAGCUGAUUGUGUUUAUCUGUGCGUCUAUAGCUGUGAAUGAGGUUUGGACAACAAUAGAUGAACUGCCAGAGUAGGAAGGAAAAUGAGAACUUUUUAGUGAUUUUCAGUACCAAUAACUGUUGGAAUAAUUAAGCUUCAAUACUUUUGCAUUUUUUUAAGUGUUUUAUUUGGAGUAUAUGUAAUUAUACUUGUAAACUGAUGCACAUUUGUAUUGGAAAGUUAAGAAAAAAUGACAUUCUGGGCCAUAAUUGAACCAGGAAUUAUGUGUGAAUAUUUUCAAAAGUAUAUCUGAGGGAAUAAUUCAGUUGCAAUCUUGUUAACCAAAUUGGUUAAAAAAUAUUCACAAUACAAAAAAUAAUUGUAUUUAUUUUUAUUAUGAUAAUACAUGUAUCUGUCAUGAACAAAAUGCUGAAAAUAGUGAUGCAUUUUUUGAUAACAUGUGUGAAUGUAGUAUACAUGGUAGAAUGAUCAGUCACAAACAUGAUUAUAUGAAACAUAUGAAUGAAAGAUAUGAAAUAUCAAAGGCAACUAUAUAUUUUCAAUCUUAAAUUGAUAUCCCCCGCCAAAUAAAUGUGUUUAUUGAUGGGUGCAAAUCCCUCCAUAUUAUAUACUGUUUAACUCUAAACAAAUGAUUCCAUGUAGAAUUUUUUUGCAAUUCUUUUGAUUGGUAUCUAUAUGCCUAUGAAAUUUUAUGUUGAAAUCUUGGAGCGUAUCUGGCACUUCUCCUCAUGUUGAUUUCUUAUAUACUAGUGGUUUGUGAGCUAUAACUCUAUAAGCUUGUGACAUAUGAACAAACAGAUAGACAGUCUGAGUGACAGACAACGCCAAUUCUAUAUACCUUCACUUUUGGCAGGGGAUAAUAAUUGACAAACUUACUUUUCCUGUAUCAAUUUUUGGGCAGUGUUUACCAACUUCAAUAGAUGUGUUCACAGAUUCAGUUAUCGAGUCAAACAGAUGAGGCCCAUCACUCAAAAGAUAUUCAAAUUUCCACUCAGUAUGAACAUUAACAUGCUGUAUUGUAUAUUUAUUACAAAUCAAAAUAAUAAAUUCUGCUCACUUAGUGUAACAUUAA